rnacentral:rRNA from 1 species
GCUACACAUGCAGUCGAGCGGUAGAGAGAAGCUUGCUUCUCUUGAGAGCGGCGGACGGGUGAGUAAUGCCUAGGAAUCUGCCUGGUAGUGGGGGAUAACGUUCGGAAACGGACGCUAAUACCGCAUACGUCCUACGGGAGAAAGCAGGGGACCUUCGGGCCUUGCGCUAUCAGAUGAGCCUAGGUCGGAUUAGCUAGUUGGUGAGGUAAUGGCUCACCAAGGCGACGAUCCGUAACUGGUCUGAGAGGAUGAUCAGUCACACUGGAACUGAGACACGGUCCAGACUCCUACGGGAGGCAGCAGUGGGGAAUAUUGGACAAUGGGCGAAAGCCUGAUCCAGCCAUGCCGCGUGUGUGAAGAAGGUCUUCGGAUUGUAAAGCACUUUAAGUUGGGAGGAAGGGCAGUUGCCUAAUACGUAACUGUUUUGACGUUACCGACAGAAUAAGCACCGGCUAACUCUGUGCCAGCAGCCGCGGUAAUACAGAGGGUGCAAGCGUUAAUCGGAAUUACUGGGCGUAAAGCGCGCGUAGGUGGUUUGUUAAGUUGGAUGUGAAAUCCCCGGGCUCAACCUGGGAACUGCAUUCAAAACUGACUGACUAGAGUAUGGUAGAGGGUGGUGGAAUUUCCUGUGUAGCGGUGAAAUGCGU